UACAGAGGGUGCAAGCGUUGCUCGGAUUUACUGGGCGUAAAGCGUACGCAGACGGCGAGAAGGGUCGGACGUGAAAGCCCCGGGCUCAACCCGGGAAAUGCAUCCGAAACCGCCUUGCUUGAGUAUGGGAGAGGGAAGCGGAAUUCCUGGUGUAGAGGUGAAAUUCGUAGAUAUCAGGAGGAACACCGGCGGCGAAGGCGGCUUCCUGGCCCAUUACUGACGUUCAGGUACGAAAGCGUGGGUAGCAAACAGG
rnacentral:rRNA from 1 species